ACGGCGCGGCAGGAGCGCGCCGAGGAGAGGCGCCUCAUCACCAUUGCGAGGGGUGAGCCACACACUCACUCACACGUACACACAGAGAGACCUGCACGGCUCAGCACGGCGCGGCAGGAGCGCGCCGAGGAGAGGCGCCUCAUCACCAUUGCGAGGGGUGAGCCACACACUCACUCACACGUACACACAGAGAGACCUGCACGGCUCAGCACGGCGCGGCAGGAGCGCGCCGAGGAGAGGCGCCUCAUCACCAUUGCGAGGGGUGAGCCACACACUCACUCACACGUACACACAGAGAGACCUGCACGGCUCAGCACGGCGCGGCAGGAGCGCGCCGAGGAGAGGCGCCUCAUCACCAUUGCGAGGGGUGAGCCACACACUCACUCACACGUACACACAGAGAGACCUGCACGGCUCAGCACGGCUCAGCACGGCGCGGCAGGAGCGCGCCGAGGAGAGGCGCCUCAUCACCAUUGCGAGGGGUGAGCCACACACUCACUCACACGUACACACAGAGAGACCUGCACGGCUCAGCACGGCUCAGCACGGCGCGGCAGGAGCGCGCCGAGGAGAGGCGCCUCAUCACCAUUGCGAGGGAGAAGAAGCGCCAGGCGGCGCUGCACAAGGAGGCGGCGUGGGACGGCUCGCUCGCCAACGCCGCCGCGGACGCGUGACGCCGCGCACGAGCUGGUGGACCCUGGGCGGCAGCUAGGGGCUCUGGGUGCCACUCUGUUGUAUGGAGCUAGAUCGACACCGAGUCAACGCCUGAGCGGCGUUCGCUAAAUAAUUAUAAAUAAGAUGCUCUCAAAUAUAUUAUUUACGAUAUACGUGAAGUUAAAUAACUUCAAACGAUAGAUAUUUUUUUAAUUAAUGUAAAACUUUUAAAAUUCUAUGAAUUAGUUAAAUCGAGUGGUUCGCGGGCCCGCUCGGACCGGCGCUGCUCCAAACGUAUCUGAUCAAGAUGUACUAUAUAAAUAUAUCAAUAUUUGCAACAGAAACAUUUUAAUGUACAGAAAGUAAAAAUUUGUUAAUUUAGACUGUGGCGCUAUCUCUUGAAAGAACGUGGGAAUUAAUUUAAAGUAAUUACUUGGGUUCUUAUAUAUAUUAUCCUUUAGGCCGUGACCCAAUGUUGUUUUU